AGUAUUGCGCAAUGGGGGAAACCCUGACGCAGCGACGCCGCGUGAGUGAUGACGGCCUGCGGGUUGUAAAACUCUGUCCUUGGGGAGGAAACAAAUGACGGUACCCAAGGAAGGAGCCCCGGCUAACCACGUGCCCGCAGCCGCGGUAAUACGUAGGGGGCGAGCGUUGUCCGGAAUUAUUGGGCGUAAAGGGUGCGUAGGCGGGCUUUUAAGUCAGAUGUGAAAGACCACAGCUUAACUGUGGGGUUGCAUUUGAAACUAGAAGGCUUGAGUAUCGGUGAGGGUAGUGGAAUUCCUAGUGUAGCGGUGAAAUGCGUAGAUAUUAGGAGGAAUACCAGUGGCGAAGGCGACUUUCUGGACUUAUACUGACGCUGAGGCACGAAAGCGUGGGGAGCAAACA
rnacentral:rRNA from 1 species